rnacentral:rRNA from 2 species
UUAAGCGACUAAGCGUACACGGUGGAUGCCCUGGCAGUCAGAGGCGAUGAAGGACGUGCUAAUCUGCGAUAAGCGUCGGUGAGGUGAUAUGAACCGUUAUAACCGGCGAUUUCCGAAUGGGGAAACCCAGUGUGUUUCGACACACUAUCAUUAACUGAAUCCAUAGGUUAAUGAGGCGAACCGGGGGAACUGAAACAUCUAAGUACCCCGAGGAAAAGAAAUCAACCGAGAUUCCCCCAGUAGCGGCGAGCGAACGGGGAGGAGCCCAGAGCCUGAAUCAGUGUGUGUGUUAGUGGAAGCGUCUGGAAAGGCGUGCGAUACAGGGUGACAGCCCCGUACACAAAAAUGCACAUAUUGUGAGCUCGAUGAGUAGGGCGGGACACGUGGUAUCCUGUCUGAAUAUGGGGGGACCAUCCUCCAAGGCUAAAUACUCCUGACUGACCGAUAGUGAACCAGUACCGUGAGGGAAAGGCGAAAAGAACCCCGGCGAGGGGAGUGAAAAAGAACCUGAAACCGUGUACGUACAAGCAGUGGGAGCCUCUUAAUGGGGUGACUGCGUACCUUUUGUAUAAUGGGUCAGCGACUUAUAUUCUGUAGCAAGGUUAACCGAAUAGGGGAGCCGAAGGGAAACCGAGUCUUAACUGGGCGUUAAGUUGCAGGGUAUAGACCCGAAACCCGGUGAUCUAGCCAUGGGCAGGUUGAAGGUUGGGUAACACUAACUGGAGGACCGAACCGACUAAUGUUGAAAAAUUAGCGGAUGACUUGUGGCUGGGGGUGAAAGGCCAAUCAAACCGGGAGAUAGCUGGUUCUCCCCGAAAGCUAUUUAGGUAGCGCCUCGUGAAUUCAUCUCCGGGGGUAGAGCACUGUUUCGGCAAGGGGGUCAUCCCGACUUACCAACCCGAUGCAAACUGCGAAUACCGGAGAAUGUUAUCACGGGAGACACACGGCGGGUGCUAACGUCCGUCGUGAAGAGGGAAACAACCCAGACCGCCAGCUAAGGUCCCAAAGUCAUGGUUAAGUGGGAAACGAUGUGGGAAGGCCCAGACAGCCAGGAUGUUGGCUUAGAAGCAGCCAUCAUUUAAAGAAAGCGUAAUAGCUCACUGGUCGAGUCGGCCUGCGCGGAAGAUGUAACGGGGCUAAACCAUGCACCGAAGCUGCGGCAGCGACACUAUGUGUUGUUGGGUAGGGGAGCGUUCUGUAAGCCUGUGAAGGUGGCCUGUGAGGGUUGCUGGAGGUAUCAGAAGUGCGAAUGCUGACAUAAGUAACGAUAAAGCGGGUGAAAAGCCCGCUCGCCGGAAGACCAAGGGUUCCUGUCCAACGUUAAUCGGGGCAGGGUGAGUCGACCCCUAAGGCGAGGCCGAAAGGCGUAGUCGAUGGGAAACAGGUUAAUAUUCCUGUACUUGGUGUUACUGCGAAGGGGGGACGGAGAAGGCUAUGUUGGCCGGGCGACGGUUGUCCCGGUUUAAGCGUGUAGGCUGGUUUUCCAGGCAAAUCCGGAAAACCAAGGCUGAGGCGUGAUGACGAGGCACUACGGUGCUGAAGCGACAAAUGCCCUGCUUCCAGGAAAAGCCUCUAAGCAUCAGGUAACAUCAAAUCGUACCCCAAACCGACACAGGUGGUCAGGUAGAGAAUACCAAGGCGCUUGAGAGAACUCGGGUGAAGGAACUAGGCAAAAUGGUGCCGUAACUUCGGGAGAAGGCACGCUGAUAUGUAGGUGAAGCGACUUGCUCGUGGAGCUGAAAUCAGUCGAAGAUACCAGCUGGCUGCAACUGUUUAUUAAAAACACAGCACUGUGCAAACACGAAAGUGGACGUAUACGGUGUGACGCCUGCCCGGUGCCGGAAGGUUAAUUGAUGGGGUUAGCGGCAACGCGAAGCUCUUGAUCGAAGCCCCGGUAAACGGCGGCCGUAACUAUAACGGUCCUAAGGUAGCGAAAUUCCUUGUCGGGUAAGUUCCGACCUGCACGAAUGGCGUAAUGAUGGCCAGGCUGUCUCCACCCGAGACUCAGUGAAAUUGAACUCGCUGUGAAGAUGCAGUGUACCCGCGGCAAGACGGAAAGACCCCGUGAACCUUUACUAUAGCUUGACACUGAACAUUGAGCCUUGAUGUGUAGGAUAGGUGGGAGGCUUUGAAGUGUGGACGCCAGUCUGCAUGGAGCCGACCUUGAAAUACCACCCUUUAAUGUUUGAUGUUCUAACGUUGGCCCGUAAUCCGGGUUGCGGACAGUGUCUGGUGGGUAGUUUGACUGGGGCGGUCUCCUCCUAAAGAGUAACGGAGGAGCACGAAGGUUGGCUAAUCUUGGUCGGACAUCAGGAGGUUAGUGCAAUGGCAUAAGCCAGCUUGACUGCGAGCGUGACGGCGCGAGCAGGUGCGAAAGCAGGUCAUAGUGAUCCGGUGGUUCUGAAUGGAAGGGCCAUCGCUCAACGGAUAAAAGGUACUCCGGGGAUAACAGGCUGAUACCGCCCAAGAGUUCAUAUCGACGGCGGUGUUUGGCACCUCGAUGUCGGCUCAUCACAUCCUGGGGCUGAAGUAGGUCCCAAGGGUAUGGCUGUUCGCCAUUUAAAGUGGUACGCGAGCUGGGUUUAGAACGUCGUGAGACAGUUCGGUCCCUAUCUGCCGUGGGCGCUGGAGAACUGAGGGGGGCUGCUCCUAGUACGAGAGGACCGGAGUGGACGCAUCACUGGUGUUCGGGUUGUCAUGCCAAUGGCACUGCCCGGUAGCUAAAUGCGGAAGAGAUAAGUGCUGAAAGCAUCUAAGCACGAAACUUGCCCCGAGAUGAGUUCUCCCUGACUCCUUGAGAGUCCUGAAGGAACGUUGAAGACGACGACGUUGAUAGGCCGGGUGUGUAAGCGCAGCGAUGCGUUGAGCUAACCGGUACUAAUGAACCGUGAGGCUUAACCUU